rnacentral:rRNA from 1 species
AGUGAACGCUGGCGGUAGGCCUAACACAUGCCAGUCGAACGGCAGCACAGUAAGAGCUUGCUCUUACGGGUGGCGAGUGGCGGACGGGUGAGGAAUACAUCGGAAUCUACUUUUUCGUGGGUGAUAACGUAGGGAAACUUACGCUAAUACCUCAUACGACCUACGGGUGAAAGCAGGGGAUCUUCGGACCUUUCGCGAUUGAAUGAGCCGAUGUCGGAUUAGCUAGUUGGCGGGGUAAAGGCCCACCAAGGCGACGAUCCGUAGCUGGUCUGAGAGGAUGAUCAGCCAAACUGGAACUGAGACACGGUACAGACUCCUACGGGAGGAAGAAGUGGGGAAUAUUGGACAAUGGGCGCAAGCCUGAUCCAGCCAUACCGCGUGGGUGAAGAAGGCCUUCGGGUUGUAAAGCCCUUUUGUUGGGAAAGAAAAGCAGCAGGUUAAUACCCCGCUGUUCUGACGGUACCCAAAGAAUAAGCACCGGCUAACUUCGUG